GACGAACGCUGGCGGCGUGCUUAACACAUGCAAGUCGAACGAAGUGGCGAACGGGUGAGUAACGCGUAAUCAACCUGCCCUUCAGCGGGGGACAACAGUUGGAAACGACUGCUAAUACCGCAUACUGAAGGAGGGGAUUUGGGCUGCUUAGCUCGUUGGAGGGGUAACGGCCCACCAAGGCGAUGAUCAGUAGCCGGUCUGAGAGGAUGAACGGCCAGAUUGGGACUGAGACAGGUCCCAGACUCCGACGGGAGGCAGCAGUGGGGAAACUGCCGCAAUGGACGAAAGUCUGACGGAGCAACGCCGCGUGAGUGAUGACGGCCUUCGGGUUUUAAAGCUCUGUUAAUCGGGACGCGGUACCGGAAUAGAAAGCCACGGCUAACUACGUGCCAGCCGCCGCGGUAAUUC
rnacentral:rRNA from 1 species